rnacentral:tRNA from 1 species
GCGGGGCGUAGCUCAGUCUGGUAGAGCGCGGGCUUUGGGAGCCCGUUUCGUCGGCUCUGCCGUCGCCGUGCCA